AAAAACAUGUCUACAUGAAGUAAAAUAUGAAGUCUAGCCUGCCCACUGAGUUUAAAAUUCUUAAAGGGCCGCGGUACUUUGACCGUGCGAAGGUAGCAUAAUCAUUAGUCUCUUAAUUGGAGGCUGGAAUGAAUGGUUGGACAAAAAAUAAGCUGUCUCAGUUAUAACAAUUGAACUUAACUUUUAAGUGAAAAGGCUUAAAUAAUUUAAGGGGACGAUAAGACCCUAUAAAGCUUUACGGUUUGUUUAUUAAAUCGAAAAUUGUAAGUUUAAAUUCAAUUUAAUAAAUAACCGUUUCGUUGGGGCGACGAGAAUAAAAUUAGUAACUGUUCUUUUUCAAUAUCACAAAUAUAAUUGCAAAAAAAUUGAUCCCUUAUUAAGGAUUAAAAAUUUAAGUUACUUUAGGGAUAACAGCGUAAUCUUUUUUGAGAGUCCUUAUCGACAAAAAGGGUUGCGACCUCGAUGUUGAAUUAAGAGAUCCUUAUAGUGCAGCAGCUAUAAAGGAAGGUCUGUUCGACCUUUAAUUUCUUACAUGAUUUGAGUUCAGACCGGCGCGAGCCAGG
rnacentral:rRNA from 1 species